UUCUUUCGCCUCUUCUUUCUUUUUCUCGGAUCUUCUUUCUCCCUCUCAGCAAAGAUCUCUGAUUUUUUCUGUCUCCUUUUCGUUCGCUCUCUGGUAAUUUCAUCUUCUCUUUUUGUAAUUUAAUUUGUUCUAUGCUGAUUCAUAUAUCGUUACUGUUACUUGUCUCGCUUUCUUUCUUUUAUUUUCUGUUUUUGAAUGAUUAUCAGCUUGGUUGCUGAGAAAAUAGAGGCUGGAAAUAGGCUUGUCGAACCCCCGUCGUCAGUCGCUGAGCUUAUCCCUUUCCUAGACGUAAUCCCUAAUCCAUCAUUUUACUAUUUUUCCUUAACUUCGUUUUGCUCUUCGUUAAUUUUUUUCCUUAUAAUUUGAUUUGUCUGAUUUUAUUAUGUAUGCGUUUUCGAAAUUUUUAGUGUGAUUCUUUCUGUGCAAUUAAUUUAGUUAGAUUUCACCCAUACUGAUUUUAUUGUCUUAAUUGACAGUGAAGUAUAUUAUCUAAUUGGAUAAAAAGGUUAACUGGGUUCAGCUUAAAAUAUUAGUGUUGGAGUUGUGUCUAAUUUCCCAUAUGAAAAUCACCAAUAGAUUACUAUUAUGAGAAUGGUAAGUUUCUCUUUUAAUUUGUUUGAUGAUUUUUUCUGUUUUAAAGUCAUGUUCUUAUGUACGUUUUGGCAAUGUUGUGCAGGUUGAUGAAGAACCUGCAAUUAGAACAAAUACCACCAUAUUAUUGGGAAACAUUGCAAGCUACCUAAAUGAAGGGGUUAGUUGUUUCUUGGCUAAUCCUUCUUGAAUAUUUGUUUUGAUUCAGUCAAUAGUGAAGGCAUAUCAAACAUUAUUAAGAUGGUUCACAUGGAAUCAAUGACCUUGAAAACUUUUAUGUUACAAUUUGUUUUCUUGUAAGGUGCAUUAAUUUUUAAGCAGCUAGCUUAAAUAGUUAAAUGAUUUAUAAAGGCAUGUCCAGAAUUUUUUUAUAGCCACUUGAUGGAUAAUGUCAGUUCUCUUUUCCCAGGAUGUAAUUUUGGUUUUUGACUGCUAAAAUUCUAACCUUGCAGAUGGGCCAUGAGUUCCUUAACUCUUAAAGGCAAAGCUAAUCAAGCUCCAGGCUUGGCAAAUAUUCAGGCAGCUCAGAAGCGUCCUGUUUCGCAACCAGUUUGACAGCCUAAACCACAAGGUAGUAUUCUGAACAUCCCUACAAUAGAAUAGUAUGAAAUUUUAAUGAAAGUCGUGAAUUUCACAGCCUCUUUGAAUCUUCGGUACUUUUUCACCUUUGGUUUGGGAAGCAAUAUUUGGGAAGAAAACCUCUCAGAAAACAUUCUAAGUUUUUUCUUUUUUUUUUUUGUUAGGCUUCUAAAAUUU
rnacentral:lncRNA from 1 species